rnacentral:rRNA from 1 species
CCUACGGGUGGCUGCAGUGGGGAAUAUUGCACAAUGGGGGAAACCCUGAUGCAGCGAUGUCGCGUGGAGGAUGAAGGCUCUCGGAUUGUAAACCCUUUUUUUUCGGGACGUUAAAGACGGUACCUGAAGAAAAAGCUCCGUCUAACUACGUGCCCGCAGCCGCGGCAAUACGGCGGGAGCGAGCGUUGUCCGGAAUUACUGGGUGUAAAGGGAGUGUAGGGGGGUCGGCAGGUCAGGUGUGAAAGCUGAGGGCCCAACCUUCAGGUUGCAUUUGAAACUGGUGGUCUUGAGUGAAGUAGAGGUAAGCGGAAUUCGUGGUGUAGCGGUGAAAUGCGUAGAUAUUAGGAAGAACAUCGGUGGCGAAGGCAGCUUACUGGGCUCUUACUGACGCUCAUGCACGAAAGUGUGGGUAUCGAACAGGAUUAGAUACCCUGGUAGUC